UACGGAGGGUGCGAGCGUUGUCCGGAAUCACUGGGCGUAAAGGGCGCGUAGGCGGCCCGAUAAGUAGGGGGUGAAAUCCUGCGGCUUAACCGCAGGGCUGCCUUCUAAACUGUCGGGCUAGAGCACGGUAGAGGCAGAUGGAAUUCCCGGUGUAGCGGUGGAAUGCGUAGAGAUCGGGAAGAACAUCAGUGGCGAAGGCGGUCUGCUGGGCCGUUGCUGACGCUGAGGCACGAAAGCGUGGGGAGCAAACGGG
rnacentral:rRNA from 1 species